AACGAGAACGUGCAAAACUACUUUGCCGAGAUCGAGCAGGUCGCUUUCAACCCGGCCCACAUGGUUCCUGGUAUUGAGCCUUCUGCCGACCCUGUUCUUCAGUCUCGUCUCUUCUCCUACCCCGAUGCCCACCGUCACCGCAUCGGUGCCAACUACCAGCAGCUCCCCACCAACUCUACCCGCACACCUUAUCGCGUCGCCAACUUCCAGCGCGAUGGCAACAUGGCUUUCCUCAACCAAGGCUCUCGUCCAGCCUACUUGAGCUCGAUCGA
rnacentral:misc_RNA from 1 species